GGACUGACUGCUAUUUAGUGCAGCUGUGACUUGUUGAGCCCAGUUUAAAUGCUGGUGCACAGGUCCCUGCCCAGCUCAUUCCCCUUCCAGGAUGUUGCCUGUAGUAGUGGAAGGUCUGGUGGUGCUCUGCCUGGUCUCCAGCAUUCAGGCAGGAAAACGGUUUCAGGAUGUAAUGGAGUUUGGAAGGAAAUCUGGCUCUAGAGGUCCCGGCAACCA